AGAGUCUUUACCUGGCUCAGAUUGAACGCUGGCGGCAGGCCUAACAUUUGCAAGUCGAGCGGUAGAGAGAAGCUUGCUUCUCUUGAGAGCGGCGGACGGGUGAGUAAUGCCUAGGAAUCUGCCUGGUAGUGGGGGAUAACGUUCGGAAACGGACGCUAAUACCGCAUACGUCCUACGGGAGAAAGCAGGGGACCUUCGGGCCUUGCGCUAUCAGAUGAGCCUAGGUCGGAUUAGCUAGUUGGUGAGGUAAUGGCUCACCAAGGCGACGAUCCGUAACUGGUCUGAGAGGAUGAUCAGUCACACUGGAACUGAGACACGGUCCAGACUCCUACGGGAGGCAGCAGUGGGGAAUAUUGGACAAUGGGCGAAAGCCUGAUCCAGCCAUGCCGCGUGUGUGAAGAAGGUCUUCGGAUUGUAAAGCACUUUAAGUUGGGAGGAAGGGCAGUAAAUUAAUACUUUGCUGUUUUGACGUUACCGACAGAAUAAGCACCGGCUAACUCUGUGCCAGCAGCCGCGGUAAUACAGAGGGUGCAAGCGUUAAUCGGAAUUACUGGGCGUAAAGCGCGCGUAGGUGGUUUGUUAAGUUGGAUGUGAAAUCCCCGGGCUCAACCUGGGAACUGCAUUCAAAACUGACUGACUAGAGUAUGGUAGAGGGUGGUGGAAUUUCCUGUGUAGCGGUGAAAUGCGUAGAUAUAGGAAGGAACACCAGUGGCGAAGGCGACCACCUGGACUAAUACUGACACUGAGGUGCGAAAGCGUGGGAAGCAAACAGGAUUAGAUACCCUGGUAGUCCACGCCGUAAACGAUGUCAACUAGCCGUUGGAAGCCUUGAGCUUUUAGUGGCGCAGCUAACGCAUUAAGUUGACCGCCUGGGGAGUACGGCCGCAAGGUUAAAACUCAAAUGAAUUGACGGGGGCCCGCACAAGCGGUGGAGCAUGUGGUUUAAUUCGAAGCAACGCGAAGAACCUUACCAGGCCUUGACAUCCAAUGAACUUUCUAGAGAUAGAUUGGUGCCUUCGGGAACAUUGAGACAGGUGCUGCAUGGCUGUCGUCAGCUCGUGUCGUGAGAUGUUGGGUUAAGUCCCGUAACGAGCGCAACCCUUGUCCUUAGUUACCAGCACGUAAUGGUGGGCACUCUAAGGAGACUGCCGGUGACAAACCGGAGGAAGGUGGGGAUGACGUCAAGUCAUCAUGGCCCUUACGGCCUGGGCUACACACGUGCUACAAUGGUCGGUACAGAGGGUUGCCAAGCCGCGAGGUGGAGCUAAUCCCAUAAAACCGAUCGUAGUCCGGAUCGCAGUCUGCAACUCGACUGCGUGAAGUCGGAAUCGCUGGUAAUCGCGAAUCAGAAUGUCGCGGUGAAUACGUUCAAGGGCCUUGUACUC
rnacentral:rRNA from 1 species